rnacentral:rRNA from 2 species
UGGGGAAUAUUGGACAAUGGGCGCAAGCCUGAUCCAGCCAUGCCGCUUGAGUGAUGAAGGCCCUAGGGUUGUAAAGCUCUUUCACCGGUGAAGAUAAUGACGGUAACCGGAGAAGAAGCCCCGGCUAACUUCGUGCCAGCAGCCGCGGUAAUACGAAGGGGGCUAGCGUUGUUCGGAUUUACUGGGCGUAAAGCGCACGUAGGCGGACUUUUAAGUCAGGGGUGAAAUCCCGGGGCUCAACCCCGGAACUGCCUUUGAUACUGGAAGUCUUGAGUAUGGUAGAGGUGAGUGGAAUUCCGAGUGUAGAGGUGAAAUUCGUAGAUAUUCGGAGGAACACCAGUGGCGAAGGCGGCUCACUGGACCAUUACUGACGCUGAGGUGCGAAAGCGUGGGGAGCAAACAGG